GGCGGAGCCGUGGCGCACUCUAGGCGUAGUAGUUUUACCGCCUCGCCUCCAGAGUGGCCCCGGCUGCCUGCCGUAAAACCCCUAAUUUUCUAGUGGUUGACCUCGGAUUAGGUAGGAAUACCCGCUGAACUUAAGCAUAU
rnacentral:rRNA from 1 species